CUUUGACCGCAACAUUAGCUGUCUCCUGGCGAUGGCCAUGACCCUCUGAAGUGCCCACGGCAGAUCAGCAGCGUGGUGGCAAGGAGAAAGCUUCCCUUAUUUGGUGGCUCUUCCCAGCUGCUGUGCUCCUGGGAGCUCCUGAGUCACAGAGGUUUUCUGCCAGGACCUGCCUGGGGGAUGACUCAGCCCAAGCUCACAGCCACAACCAGUGCCAGCCCUGGUCCCAAAUGGAC